CGGUGGGUGGGCGUGGCCUGAAGAGGGGUUUUGCUUUUCGACGAAUCAGGCGCCGGUCUCGCUGGCGGAGGCGUGGCUUAGCGGUGGGCGGGGCUUUCGCUCGCCUCUAAUUGGCCGGCGAGGGCGGUGGGCGUGACCCACCCCUGUGGGCGUGUCACCGCCGGGUUGUCAGCUCGCGCGAGGCCCGCUGGGAUCGGAAGUCUACCUGCCGGGCCCGGAAGUCGGCCUCCCGCGACCGGAAUUCGCCCUCCCGGGACCGGAAGUCGACCGCGCGCUUCCGAUGAGACGGGGACACAGAAGGGGACACGAGGACAGUGACCGCCCCGGAGCCACCCGACGAGGCACACGCGAGCUCGUGAGCUGUUCGAGCCCCCGCGGCCCGGCCGGGAGAUGCCGAAGGUGAGCGGAGCCGGAAGGCGCCCCCGACGGCUGGGAGCUGAUGGAGCCCAGGCUGGACGCUGGAGCAGAAGAUGCCAGGGUGAGCGCGGGGGACGGACAGACAGACGGACCCUGGAUGAGGGGGCGUCCCGGGGUCCCCAGUG